rnacentral:snoRNA from 1 species
AUAUCAAAAACUAAUUUGUGUUUCUGCCGAAAUUUAGAAAAAGCUGGCAAUAGUGAUGCCAUUUUCUGGACCUUAAAGAUAACUGAGAUCAUUAAGGUCCCUAAAAAUGGCUACAAUA